rnacentral:rRNA from 1 species
UACAGAGGGGGCAAGCGUUGUUCGGAUUUACUGGGCGUAAAGGGCGCGUAGGCGGUCAGCACAAGUCAGUUGUGAAAUCUCCGGGCUUAACUCGGAAAGGUCAACUGAUACUGUGCGACUAGAGUGCAGAAGGGGCAACUGGAAUUCUCGGUGUAGCGGUGAAAUGCGUAGAUAUCGAGAGGAACACCUGCGGCGAAGGCGGGUUGCUGGGCUGACACUGACGCUGAUGCGCGAAAGCCAGGGGAGCGAACGGG